rnacentral:sRNA from 21 species
GUCAGGAACCCCACGGCUAUAAGCCGGAGGCUUGAAUAAAGUCUAUACCUGACCAGCCUAAGUGCUUAGCGCACUACGUUAACGGUAAGCGUUAAAGUUCCUACCUUGGGAUGCGUGCCAGUCCCAUGCUCUAGA